AGUGAACGCUGGCGGUAGGCCUAACACAUGCAAGUCGAACGGCAGCACAGUAAGAGCUUGCUCUUACGGGUGGCGAGUGGCGGACGGGUGAGGAAUACAUCGGAAUCUACUUUCUCGUGGGGGAUAACGUAGGGAAACUUACGCUAACACCGCAUACGACCUACGGGUGAAAGCAGGGGAUCUUCGGACCUUGCGCGAUUGAAUGAGCCGAUGUCGGAUUAGCUAGUUGGCGGGGUAAAGGCCCACCAAGGCGACGAUCCGUAGCUGGUCUGAGAGGAUGAUCAGCCACACUGGAACUGAGACACGGUCCAGACUCCUACGGGAGGCAGCAGUGGGGAAUAUUGGACAAUGGGCGCAAGCCUGAUCCAGCCAUACCGCGUGGGUGAAGAAGGCCUUCGGGUUGUAAAGCCCUUUUGUUGGGAAAGAAAAGCAGCAGGUUAAUACCCCGCUGUUCUGACGGUACCCAAAGAAUAAGCACCGGCUAACUUCGU
rnacentral:rRNA from 1 species